rnacentral:rRNA from 1 species
GACAUAUACAGGAAUGUUGUAGAGAUACAGCAGCCGCUUGCGGUCUGUAUACAGGUGCUGCAUGGCUGUCGUCAGCUCGUGCUGUGAAGUGUUGGGUAAGUCCCGCAACGAGCGCAACCCUAUCAUCUGUUGCCAGCAUUUAAGGUGGGGACUCAGAUGAGACUGCCGGUGACAAACCGGAGGAAGUGGGGACGACGUCAAGUCAUCAUGGCCCUUAUGUCCUGGGCUACACACGUGCUACAAUGGCCGGUACAGAGUGAAGCGAAACCGCGAGGUGAAGCAAAACGCAGAAAGCCGGUCUCAGUACGGAUUGGAGUCUGAAACUCGACUUCAUGAAGUUGGAAUCGCUAGUAAUCGCGCAUCAGCAUGGCGCGGUGAAUACGUUCCCGGGCCUU